GUUAUGUUUAAUGGGCUUUUGAUC
rnacentral:siRNA from 1 species